CGCUCAGAUCCCAGCUAUCUGGGGAUAUGUGACAUGUCUGUGUUUUAUGUAUAAAAGGUGACUAUAUGUAUUUUAAAGUGUUUUGUGUCUUUUUGCAACCAUGUGCUUAAUGGAGUCUUGUGUCUGUCCUGGGAGAUAAUUGAAUUACUUAUCUCCAGGAUAGAAGACUCUGAAACUGGUUUGGGCCGGAAAGCCAUGCUUCAUUUAGUCACAAAGGACUUUCCCUUAACUUUUGAACCCCUGGUCUGAUUUGUGCCAUUUUUUAAUAUGUUGUUCCCCUGAAUGGAUUGAUUAUGAAAAUGUAUGUUUUAUGUUUGUGACAUGUAUAUUUUUAGAAGUUAUAAAUAUUGUGUAAAAACUGUAUUCCUCUGCCGGUGAUAAUGAGAUUACCCAUUGUGUUCAGUAAUCAUAUCACAGGCAGAGGGGAGGAGUUUGUGUGGGAGUGUCUGGGUGUAUUGUACGGAUUGAUU